AUUGAACGCUGGCGGAAUGCUUUACACAUGCAAGUCGAGCGGCAGCGCGGGGCAACCUGGCGGCGAGCGGCGAACGGGUGAGUAAUACAUCGGAACGUACCCUAUUGUGGGGGAUAACGAAUCGAAAGAUUCGCUAAUACCGCAUAAGACCUGAGGGUGAAAGUGGGGGAUCGCAAGACCUCACGCGAUAGGAGCGGCCGAUGUCGGAUUAGCUAGUUGGUGAGGUAAAGGCUCACCAAGGCGACGAUCCGUAGCGGGUCUGAGAGGACGGCCCGCCACACUGGGACUGAGACACGGCCCAGACUCCUACGGGAGGCAGCAGUGGGGAAUUUUGGACAAUGGGGGCAACCCUGAUCCAGCCAUUCCGCGUGAGUGAAGAAGGCCUUCGGGUUGUAAAGCUCUUUCGGCAGGAACGAAACGGUGGGGGCUAAUAUCCCUCGCUAAUGACGGUACCUGAAGAAGAAGCACCGGCUAACUACGUGCCAGCAGCCGCGGUAA
rnacentral:rRNA from 1 species